AUUGAACGCUGGCGGCAGGCUUAACACAUGCAGGUCGAGCGGAGUGAUGGUGCUUGCACUAUCACUUAGCGGCGGACGGGUGAGUAAUGCUUAGGAAUCUGCCUAUUAGUGGGGGACAACAUCUCGAAAGGGAUGCUAAUACCGCAUACGUCCUACGGGAGAAAGCAGGGGAUCACUUGUGACCUUGCGCUAAUAGAUGAGCCUAAGUCGGAUUAGCUAGUUGGUGGGGUAAAGGCCUACUAAGGCGACGAUCUGUAGCGGGUCUGAGAGGAUGAUCCGCCACCAUGGGACUGAGACACGGCCCAGACUCCUACGGGAGGCAGCAGUGGGGAAUAUUGGACAAUGGGGGGAACCCUGAUCCAGCCAUGCCGCGUGUGUGAAGAAGGCCUUAUGGUUGUAAAGCACUUUAAGCGAGGAGGAGGCUCUAUUGGUUAAUACCCAAGAUGAGUGGACGUUACUCGCAGAAUAAGCACCGGCUAACUCUGUGCCAGCAGCCGCCGUAA
rnacentral:rRNA from 1 species